rnacentral:lncRNA from 1 species
AGGCACCCCAGUGGAACCAAGAAUAGUUAGGGCAUGUGUUGAUAAGAGCCCAGGAACUCUAGUCAGAAAGAAAAAGAAAGUUCAGAAGAAGAAGGAUUAUCAGGAAAAAAGUUGCAGCAAAAGGCUAUUACUAAAUACUUUUUGUUACCGGAGGGUGUGUGAAUCGGCACAGCGGCUGCCACGUGUGCAAGCCGGUCACAGCGCAGCAAGGAUUUUCCAAGAGGCGGCGGCGACUGGCCCUUCCCCGCCUCCUGGCCGGGGAGCUGGCUCUUCCACUGCCGGGAGCCCAAAUCUAGACCUGACCUGGAGGCACAGUCUCACAGGCUCUUGCUCCCUGUGCCCAGUAGCAGUUUGAGUCCGGGACACUCCCCAGGGCCAUCUGGGGCUGCCCAGGCACUACAGCCCGCAGAAGACACUACCGGUGUCCCUGAUGUUUGGUCAUUUUCAAUGCCAAUAACUAAGCUACAAUGGUUCUCCCACACCUGGAAGCUAAUGAGUAAUGAGCACUAUUAAGGCUUAUUUCAAAUGUAAAAAACCUUGAGAUAAUGUACUAAAUUGUUCAGAAGGUUGUUUUCUUAGUAGAAUGCUACAGGAUUUUCUUUAGCCAUCCGGAGUUCCUGCCUUCGUCCCAGUGCCGGUAAAGACCAAGGUGGAAGAAUUUCCAGUGUUGCUGAGAACCAGACGAGACUUCGGAUCAAGCUAGCUGCCUGCAGAACUUACCUGGACUGUGAUUUAAGCUAGCUGCCUGCAGAACUUACCUGGACUGUGAUUUACCUGGACUGUGAGUUAAUCUAUUGAGACAUUGCUUUACCUGGACUGAGACAACAAACUGUAAUCUACAACAAAUUGUAACUCGGUAUCUUUGCUAAUGGUGUCAUUGCUGGUAUAAUUUUUCCAAGGGCUUCUUGCAUGGAGCCAUCCAUUGGCUUGGUAUUAUGGCAUUUUGUAUCCUCCCUUUCUGUUUGUAGCAGGUUAUUUAUGGUGUUUCUGUAAAAACCACUAUGGUCGUUAUUUAAAUCAAACAAAAGGGGGGAAUGUUAGAGUCUAUAAACAAGUCAAAAUAACACCUGGCAUUUUGCCAGGGGAAUGUUAGAGUUCGUAAACAAGUCUGGAUGGUGCCUAGCAAAAUGCCAGAGGGAAUGGUUUGAGAAGUAACAAAAGUGAGCCAUUAAGUGUGGAGAUUCCUGAUUGGUUGACUGAUGUAUCUAGUUUAUGCUAAUUAGAUAAGCUGUGUGGAAUGUAUAAAUACUGCUCCUGUCCUGCAAUAAACGGC